rnacentral:rRNA from 1 species
AGAGCGAACGCUGGCGGCAGGCCUAACACAUGCAAGUCGAACGGACCCUUCGGGGUUAGUGGCGGACGGGUGAGUAACACGUGGGAACGUGCCUUUUGGUUCGGAAUAGCUCCUGGAAACGGGUGGUAAUGCCGAAUGUGCCCUUCGGGGGAAAGAUUUAUCGCCAUUAGAGCGGCCCGCGUCUGAUUAGCUAGUUGGUAAGGUAAUGGCUUACCAAGGCGACGAUCAGUAGCUGGUCUGAGAGGACUGACCAGCCACAUUGGGACUGAGACACCGGCCCAAACUCCUAACGGGAGGCAGCAGUGGGGAAUCGUUGCGCAAGUGGGCGAAAGCUGACGCAGCCAUCGCCGCGUGAAUGGAACGAAGGUUCUUAAGGGAUUAGGUAAAAUUCGUUUACGAACCGGGAACGAGUAAUGGUAACGGUAACCCGGAGAACGAACGGCCCCGGACUAACUUCGUCGCCGUA